GGGUUAUAGGAAACCCUAAAAUAAUGCUACACUGGUGUUACACGCAUACACACAAAGUGCCGCCACUCUCUUCUUCUUUCUUAAUUUCUUCUGCACAGCUCACCAUCGCAUACUUUUUCAUUGUUUUUUCUUGCAUCAUCUCUGAGACUGAAAUCCAUAUGUUUCCAAAUGCAACUUUAUUUCUUUUCUCCUUUGUCUUUUCUUCUCUCAAGUCUCUUAGGCCAGGGUGCAAAACCAAUUUUUCAAGGGGUUCAAGAUGCAAAAAAUACACUGUUUAAAACACUGAUUAGUACUCCAUUUUUGAGAUAGAACAAAUCGACUCUGUGUUCGCAGCAAAAUUCAUAGGUUUUUCAAUCAUAUAUCACCCAAAUCUCAAUCCCAAUUUCACAAUCCCUACUUCGCAAUCCCUACUUCGCAAUCCCUACUUCGCAUCCCUCUCUCUCUCAGCUUCUUCUUCUGAUUUUCCUUCGAUUCUGAAUUCUCACUCACUGAUUACGGAGAGUAGAGUCGAGGAACAGUUCAAUUGUUGAACUCAAUCUGGUAGUGCAGUGAGUGAAAGAGAGAAUCAAGAUUUGAUUCAGAAUGAGUUCAGUAAAGAAACGUGAAUUGAAUGGUGCGAGCAGCAACAAAGAUGAAGAUCAAUUGAUAGUAACACCAUUAGGUGCUGGUAACGAAGUUGGUCGUUCUUGUGUAUACAUGACCUAUAAAGGCAAAACCGUUUUGUUCGAUUGUGGUAUCCACCCCGGCUAUUCCGGCAUGGCGGCGCUGCCUUACUUUGACGAAAUCGAUCCUUCAACAGUCGACGUCCUUCUCAUAACUCAUUUCCACUUGGAUCAUGCUGCAUCACUUCCUUAUUUUCUUGAGAAAACCACUUUCAAAGGCCGAGUUUUCAUGACCUACGCAACAAAGGCCAUUUACAAGCUCCUCUUAUCUGAUUAUGUUAAAGUCAGCAAGGUUUCCAUCGAUGAUAUGCUUUACGAUGAACAAGAUAUUAACCGCUCCAUGGAUAAAAUUGAGGUUAUUGAUUUCCACCAAACAGUUGAAGUGAACGGUAUUAGAUUCUGGUGUUACACUGCAGGACAUGUCCUUGGUGCUGCUAUGUUUAUGGUUGACAUUGCAGGUGUUCGAGUGCUAUAUACAGGAGACUAUUCACGUGAGGAAGACCGACAUCUUCGAGCUGCAGAGACCCCACAGUUCUCCCCUGAUGUAUGCAUUAUAGAAUCAACCUAUGGCGUACAACACCAUCAGCCUCGGCACACCCGAGAAAAACGCUUUACUGAUGUUAUUCAUUCAACCAUUUCUCAAGGGGGGCGUGUGUUGAUUCCGGCCUAUGCCCUGGGUCGUGCGCAAGAGCUACUAUUGAUCCUUGAUGAGUAUUGGGCAAAUCAUCCGGAACUCCAUAAUAUACCCAUCUAUUAUGCUUCUCCACUUGCAAAAAAAUGUUUGACUGUUUAUGAGACUUACACUCUUUCGAUGAAUGACAGGAUUCAGAAUGCAAAGUCAAAUCCAUUUGUCUUUAAGCACAUAUCGGCUUUGAGUAGCAUUGAUAUUUUCAAAGAUGUAGGACCGUCUGUUGUGAUGGCAAGCCCCGGUGGACUUCAGAGUGGGUUGUCACGGCAAUUAUUUGAUAUGUGGUGCUCUGACAAGAAAAAUUCUUGUGUUAUACCUGGGUAUGUUGUUGAGGGGACACUGGCUAAAACUAUCCUCAAUGAACCAAAGGAAGUUACUCUGAUGAAUGGACUCUCUGCACCUCUCAACAUGCAGGUGCACUACAUUUCCUUUUCUGCUCAUGCUGACUCUGCUCAAACAAGUGCAUUCUUGGAAGAGCUCAAUCCGCCCAACAUCAUUCUUGUUCACGGGGCAGCUAAUGAGAUGGGAAGGCUCAAACAGAAGCUCAUGACUCAGUUUGCUGACCGUAACACUAAGAUCCUUACUCCAAAAAAUUGUCAAUCUGUCGAAAUGUAUUUCAAUUCACAGAAAAUGGCAAAAUCCAUUGGGAAGCUGGCUGAAAAAACACCGCUAGUGGGUGAAACCGUUAGUGGUUUGCUAGUUAAAAAAGGCUUCACAUAUCAAAUAAUGGCACCAGAUGAUCUCCAUGUCUUCUCACAGCUAUCAACGGUAAACGUCACACAGAGAAUUACCAUCCCUUAUUCAGGCGCCUUUAGUGUCAUACAGCAUAGACUCAAACAAAUAUAUGAGAGCGUGGAGGCGUCAGUCGAUGAAGAAUCUGGAGUUCCAACAUUGGUAGUUCAUGACCGUGUAACAGUAAAGCAUGAGUCUGAUAAGCAUAUCUCAUUGCAUUGGACGUCAGACCCCAUUAGUGACAUGGUAUCGGAUUCAGUUGUUGCUCUAGUUUUAAAUAUCAGCCGCGAUCUCCCAAAAGUAAUGGCUGAAACUGAUGCCGUAAAGAUUGAGGAAGAGAAUGAGAAGAAGACAGAGAAGGUUAUGCAUGCCCUCCUCAAUUCACUGUUUGGAAAUGUGAAGGUUGGAGAAAAUGGGAAGCUGAUAAUUAACAUUGAUGGCAAUGUGGCAGAACUCAACAAAGAAAGUGGUGAAGUUGAGAGUGAAAAUGAAGGCCUUAAAGAAAGAGUGAGAACGGCAUUCCGGCGUAUUCAAAGUUCCGUGAAGCCGAUUCCUCUCUCUGCGCCAUAGUUCUUCUCCCUAUACUAGCUCUCAUACUGCACUAACAUGUACGACAGUCAUCAUAACAUGUAGUUACUCGCCUGUGGGAGAAAAGUGAAAGAGGGAGAGAUGAUAGAACUUGACGGGAGAUGUUAACAAUAUCUUUGUCCAUUAUUUUGUAAUGUCUUGCCAGAUUAGUAAUAUUGAACUAAUGGUUUGAGUGUUUGACAGAUUAUUAGUAAUAGUAAUGGUUUAUACUUUAUAAUACUGGUUUGAUCUGAUUAGUCUAAUAGAUAUUUUGUAAUGUCUGGUUAGAUAUUACUAUGUGCUUCAUUUGGUGAUAUCGAAUGCAUAGAAAAGAUAAUGUUGGCUUUGUUGUACUGGGAAGCAUUACAUGACAAAACAAUAUGAUAACAAGAAUGCAUGUUGAUGAUGCAAAA